GCAAAGAGCGGACAGAUUUCAAGCUUGGACUCUGAAGAAGGCAAUAGCUAUCAUGAUGCCACACCAUAUUUUUUGAA
rnacentral:lncRNA from 1 species